rnacentral:rRNA from 1 species
ACUUAGAGUCUCCUGAAGGAACGUUGAAGACGACGACGUCGAUAGGCCGGGUGUGUAAGCGCAGCGAUGCGUUGAGCUAACCGGUACUAAUGAACCGUGAGGCUUAACCUUACAACGCCGAAG